rnacentral:rRNA from 1 species
AUUGAACGCUGGCGGCAUGCCUUACACAUGCAAGUCGAACGGCAGCAUGGGUGCCUGCACCUGAUGGCGAGUGGCGAACGGGGGAGUAAUGCAUCGGAAAGUACGCGUAAGUGGGGGAUAACGUAGCGAGAGUUAGGCGAAUAUCGCAUAUUCCGUGAGCAGGAAAGCGGGGGAGGGCAAGGCCCCGCGCGCCCGGAGCGGUCGGGGUCGGAUUAGCUAGUGGGGGGGGUAAAGGCCCACCAAGGCGACGAUCCGUAGCGGGUCUGAGAGGAUGAUCCGCCACGCUGGGACUGAGACACGGCCCAGACUCCUACGGGAGGCAGCAGUGGGGAAUUUUGGACAAUGGGGGCAACCCUGAUCCAGCCAUGCCGCGUGAGUGAAGAAGGCCUUCGGGUUGUAAAGCUCUUUCGGCUGGGAAGAAAUCGCAUCUCCUAAUACGUGGUGUGGAUGACGGUACCAGCAUAAGAAGCACCGGCUAACUACGUGCCAGCCGCCGCAGUAAUAC